CUUUUUCAUUUUCAUUUCAUACUUUACUUCUACUUAGUGAUUUUUCUGCAGCAGUUUUCAGAACAAGCCCUAAAAGAGCGGGAGUAUACAGUGGAAUUUUCCAGAGACUCCAUUUUGUGUGACAUUGCAACAGAUUGAAGGCUGAGGCAGAUCUGAGAAUCCAGCUGUCUUCUACUAAGCCAGACAUUAAAGAGCUGAGGUGUUCUGGAUAUAAGCUCAGAGUCCCAGGUUGCAUCAGCCAAGUCCCGUCUUGUUGAUGUUGACAUGUGCGUGUGGCAUCUCGGAGCCUUCACCUGCUCAAGCUGCAGCCCAGGAUCCUAGGCUGGCCAUGCCCCUCAGUAUUUUAAUGGCCUUCAAUGGGUCUUACUUGAAUAACCCUAGUUGCCUCUAGGUUGUCACCUGUGCAUUCUGGCUAAGGCGUGUUCCCAGGUGAUUUUACCUGCAGGCAGCAGCCCUCAGGCUCCCUGCCUUUGUCCCUCUUGGCCUCUGUGGGGUGUGGAGGGUGUCUCCCAUCCUGGGAGGGGCCAUGGCCUUGUGGUGCCCUGUUCCUGCUCCUCUGACCUCUGCUCACUCUGCCCUCCCAGGUCAGGGCCCCUGCCAUGAACUGCUGCUCCACUGAUGCUAUUUUCAGGCUCUGUGUGGGCCCCAUGUUGUCCACUUCUUUAGCACCUGGGGCAGGACCAGCUCCCAGGACCUCCCCAUGCAUCUCUCUCCUAUGACAGAGCUGAGAAAAGCCUGCCUGGCCCACAUUCACCUCUCAGAGGGUAUAGAUUACUGGAACUGCAGAGUUACAUAAGACUCUUGGCGAGCCAAGGUGGGAAGGAGGUUCCUUGAACAGAGCAGCCGGUGAAGGGGGACUCCACCCUGCCUCCCCAGGGCCCGUGGGACUCCAGGCAGGGCUGCCCAGGAGGGUUCAGGGCCGACCUCCUGCUAUUGAUGCUUCUGCUUGCCCGCACAUGCCCUGUUGUUUCCUCUGCUCACCUGCCUUCUUCAGCCUCCUUCCCUACCACACAGCAGACAUGUUCCAAUGUGAUUGUGAGCCCAGUUGAAGUUCUUUCCUAUGAUUCGUCUGGGCCCUCAGAAAAAUCUAGAGAUGUGCCCAGACCCUGAACCCCACGAAAAGUGUUCCAGACUCUUCACGAGAGCGCCGAGCUUUGUCUGCCCAGAGCCCGCUGAGUGUUGGGGGCUGUCCAGCUCCACAGAUGGGCCUAUCUGUCCCUCAGCUUCAGCCAGAUACCAUAUCCAACUCCACACAUAUACAUUUUAAAAUUGAAGUAUAGUUCAGUCAAAUGCACAGAUCUUAAGUGUAGAGAUAGAUGAUUUUUGACAAAUAUUUAUGUAUCUGUGUAGCCAACUCCCCAAUCAAGAUAUAGAACAUUGUCAUCACUCUAGAAAAAUUCCUAUCAGCCCCUUUCCAGUGUAGGCAUCUCCCCCUGCCCCCAUCCUGCUCUCCAAGAAACCAUAUUCUGAUUUCUAUUCCAAAAGAUUAGCU